CCUUAUGGCCAACUCUAUUCGACCCCCGAGCAACUCUCUCACGAUCAGAGACAAAGAUGACGAGCAGUACGACCUAGAAGAGGGGAAGUGUGGCGGUCUCACGAUCUCAAUUCGAUACAAACAGCUCUAGCAACUGAAUUCUGCAAUUCUUUGACCUCCAAAUGAUUUAGAAGGGCAUAUCAAGCAUCAAUAAACCGGAUAUCAAAUGUAUGGGGAUGUAUCUGCCACACGUUUAGAGCUGCAUAUUCCUCCAGGCAUUCUUUCAACUGUGCUUCACUGUAUCCCUGUGAAUAACCAAACAUCUCAAGCAUUCAGAAUUAAUCUAGGACACAACAAACAUUACAACUGUGAAGGGAAAGUCCUCCAAAAACUAUUUGGAAAAAGAAGAAUGCAUAUGGCUUAAAUAUUAAAAGAAACAUCUGUCUAGACGCGAUUGGAAGACAGUAGUAAACACUGCAUCACUUGAUUUCAGACUAUUUGAGUUGUUUUUUUUUUUUAAUCAAAUCAUAUGUCAAAUAUGCUGAAUAUCAUCAUGUCUAGGCGAUAACAAUCUCUUUGCUACAGCCAUAUAUUCUGACAUCCGUGCCACAAUAGAUUGCAGAAAAUGCACAUGCUGAAGGCCCUGUCAUGCAGAUGAAGCUAUUUCCUAAUCAGGGAAUAAUUUUUCUCUUAUAAACUGAACACCAUCAUGUCUUGGGCCAACGGUUUCAGACUGAGCUCAUCAUCCCUCGGUAAAUGAAGCACUUCUGACAACCUAGAAUGGCAAUGAUAAUCCUCUCUUUCUGUUAAAUGCAAGGCCAAAUUGGGACACCAGGCUAAACAAGAGAAACUCCAUAUACAGCAUUGAUCCUCGAAUUUUAGACACUACUAGAUAAACAAUCAAUAAAUGCUACUCUCAAUUUGA